UACGGGAGGCAGCAGUGAGGAAUAUUGGACAAUGGCCGGAAGGCUGAUCCAGCCAUGCCGCGUGCAGGAAGACGGUCCUAUGGAUUGUAAACUGCUUUUGUACGAGAGCAAUAAGGUGUACGUGUACACCGAUGAGAGUAUCGUACGAAUAAGCAUCGGCUAACUCCGUGCCAGCAGCCGCGGUAAU
rnacentral:rRNA from 1 species